CAAGUGGAAGAUAGGAUUUCAAUCUGGAGGGGCACUCAUCUUCCAGAAAAGUACAAGGUUGGCUUAAACUUCUACCACAUACUGAAGCAUCACAAAGCAGCUUCUCAACAGAAAUCUGUGUAAUAAAUGAAAAUGAGAGCCAUGCAGUUAUCUGACCUGCUAUGAAUAUCAUUCAGCUAGUUGGUUGUUCUGUCUUCAGAAUCACAGAACAAAUGAAUGGUUAAGGUUGGAAGGAACCACUUGUGAUCAUCUAGUCCAACUUCUGUGCUUCUUGAAGCACAUUCCCCAGGAUCACUUCCAGGCAACUGUCCACAGUGGAGAAGUAUCAGUGGGAAUGUCAGAGCUAUGAGGAAGAUGCUUCAUCUGUUAGGGUCUCUGAUUCAUGUCACUGAGUAAGAAGGAGAUUCUGAAGCCUAGCAUAUUUGUAAAAAAAAAAAAAAAAAAAAAAUACAUCUAGAGAAGAAAAAGAGGAGCUCCACAGAAAAUGCAGUAAAGAUAUAAUGUACUUUCAAAGCAUAUGUAAGACAGACAUGCUAGGCUGAAAGUACAAUACUUUUUACUUUUUCUCUUAGUGUUGUGACCUAGAAGUCCCAGUGGAGAGCAGGAACCCGUAAGCAAGUAAGUUUUUUACAGAAAACUGGGAGAUUGUCCACAGAACAUAUCAGUGUUGUUAACUAAGUAGAUAAAUGAGAGCAGGAUGUUGUGCAGUCUCAAACAAAGUGGAAAAAAAAAAAAUUCGGAAAAAAAAAUUACAGAAUGUCAGCAUAUUAAAUAGUCAUGUAAUUAAAUAAUUAAAUAAGAAUGUAAGUAAAAGAAGUUUUGCA
rnacentral:lncRNA from 1 species